GACGAACGCUGGCGGCGUGCUUAACACAUGCAAGUCGAACGGAAAGGCCCUGCUUUUGUGGGGUGCCCGAGUGGCGAACGGGUGAGUAACACGUGAGUAACCUGCCCUUGACUUUGGGAUAACUUCAGGAAACUGGGGCUAAUACCGGAUAGGAGCUCCUGCUGCAUGGUGGGGGUUGGAAAGUUUCGGCGGUUGGGGAUGGACUCGCGGCUUAUCAGCUUGUUGGUGGGGUAGUGGCUUACCAAGGCUUUGACGGGUAGCCGGCCUGAGAGGGUGACCGGCCACAUUGGGACUGAGAUACGGCCCAGACUCCUACGGGAGGCAGAAGUGGGGAAUAUUGCACAAUGGGCGGAAGCCUGAUGCAGCAACGCCGCGUGCGGGAUGACGGCCUUCGGGUUGUAAACCGCUUUCGCCUGUGACGAAGCGUGAGUGACGGUAAUGGGUAAAGAAGCACCGGCUAACUACGUG
rnacentral:rRNA from 1 species